GAUACGAUGGCCUAGUGAUUAGAGUGACCGCCUCAGAUGCAGGAGGUCGUGGAAUCGAUCCCCGGUCGAGUCA